rnacentral:rRNA from 1 species
CCUGCUCAAUGAAGUAUUUUUUAAAUAGCUGCAGUAUUUUUGACUGUACAAAGGUAGCAUAAUCAUUUGUCUUUUUAAUGGAGUCUGGAAUGAAAGGUUAAAUGUAAUAUAAACUGUUUUAAAUUAAAAAAAAGGAAAUUUUAUUUUAAGUUAAAAUACUUAAAUUUAAGUAUAAGACGAGAAGACCCUAUAGAAUUUUAUAACUUAUAAAUUUAAAUUAUUUUAAAAUAAUUUUUUUUAAUAAAAAAAAAUUAUUAAAUUAUUUUAUUGGGGGUAUAUUAAAAUUUUAAAAAUUUUUAAAUAAAUUAAACAAAUAUAUUUGUAAUUAAUAUUAGAAUAUUUAUUUAAUAGAUAGUAGAUUAAAUUACCUUAGGGAUAACAGCAUAAUUUUUUUGGAAAGACCAUAUUUAUAAAAAAGAUUAUGACCUCGAUGUUGAAUUAUGGUGAAAUUUUAUUGUAGAAGGUAAAAAUUUUAGUCUGUUCGACU